AGUGAACGCUGGCGGUAGGCCUAACACAUGCAAGUCGAACGGCAGCACAGUAAGAGCUUGCUCUUACGGGUGGCGAGUGGCGGACGGGUGAGGAAUACAUCGGAAUCUACUUUUUCGUGGGGGAUAACGUAGGGAAACUUACGCUAAUACCGCAUACGACCUACGGGUGAAAGCAGGGGAUCUUCGGACCUUGCGCGAUUGAAUGAGCCGAUGUCGGAUUAGCUAGUUGGCGGGGUAAAGGCCCACCAAGGCGACGAUCCGUAGCGGGUCUGAGAGGAUGAUCAGCCACACUGGAACUGAGACACGGUCCAGACUCCUACGGGAGGCAGCAGUGGGGAAUAUUGGACAAUGGGCGCAAGCCUGAUCCAGCCAUACCGCGUGGGUGAAGAAGUCCUUCGGGUUGUAAAGCCCUUUUGUUGGGAAAGAAGAGCAGCAGGUUAAUACCCCGCUGUUCUGACGGUACCCAAAGAAUAAGCACCGGCUAACUUCGUG
rnacentral:rRNA from 1 species